rnacentral:rRNA from 1 species
GACGAACGCUGUCGGCGUGCCUAAUACAUGCAAGUAGGACGCAGUUGCGAACGGGUGAGUAACGCGUAGGUAACUACCUAUUAGAGGGGGAUAACUAUUGGAAACGAUAGCUAAUACCGCAUACUAGUAGAUGGACCUGCGUUGUAUUAGCUAGUAGGGAGGGUAAUGGCCUACCAAGGCAAUGAUACAUAGCCGAACUGAGAGUGUGCUCGGCCACACUGGGACUGAGACAAGGCCCAGCCUCCUACGGUAGGCAGCAGUAGGGAAUCUUCGGCAAUGGGGGGAACCCUGACCGAGCAACGCCGCGUGAGUGCAGAAGGUUUGCGGAUCGGAAAGCUCUGUUGUUAAGGAAGCGGUACUUAACCAGAAAGCGACGGCUAACUACGUGCAAGCAGCCGCGGUAAUAC